rnacentral:rRNA from 1 species
UACGAAGGGGGCUAGCGUUGCUCGGAAUCACUGGGCGUAAAGCGCGCGCAGGCGGCUUUAUAAGUCUGAUGUGAAAGCCCACGGCUCAACCGUGGAGGGUCAUUGGAAACUGGGGGAACUUGAGUGCAGAAGAGAAAAGCGGAAUUCCACGUGUAGCGGUGAAAUGCGUAGAGAUGUGGAGGAACACCAGUGGCGAAGGCGGCUUUUUGGUCUGUAACUGACGCUGAGGCGCGAAAGCGUGGGGAGCAAACAGG